AUCGCUUCUCGGCCUUUUGGCUAAGAUCAAAGUGUAGUAUCUGUUCUUAUCAGCUUAAUAUCUGAUAGGGGUUCAAAUGAACCCCAGAAUAUUAAACUGAUUUUGGAAUUCAGUGGGAAAUCAAUAGCAGUGGAGUCCUGCCACAGGUUGACAGUAUUGCAGUACCUCCGGGCUCGCUCACCUUAA
rnacentral:snRNA from 1 species